rnacentral:lncRNA from 1 species
UAGCAUGUUCUGCACAGCUGACUAGGUUUCUCUGCUCUCUAAUACAGAUGGAGACGUCCAUUCAGUGCUCGGUUUGCACAUACAUUGUGAGCACACUUGGGUAUCUGUUUCCCAGAGAGAGGACUCAGAGCAUCAUAACUGUCCUGCUGGAGAGUUUGUGCAGAGAGUUUCCUCCUCUGGUUCAGCCACAGUGCAAUAAAAUGGUUGAAAAAUACGUCCAGCUGUUGGUUGACAUGCUAUUGAACAAUACUUCACCUAACUUCAUAUGCACUCUGCUUCGUCUUUGUGAAAUACGGAAGCAUCCCGUCCACGCGGCUGAGGUGCUUUCUGAUUGUGAUUCCUGCCUUACAUUGGCAGUUUUGACUCAUAUGCAUCUGGGCUCCAAUGCCACCGAGCUCCAGGCUGCUUCAUUCCUGAACACCGUCUGCCAACUGCACCCCAGUGCCAUGCCAAAGUGUGAGACUUUUGUGCAGCGUCAUGGGAACCAGCUCAGUGUAUUUCUGAGCAAACAGCAGGGGGCGCUGGACAUUUGUAAGGUAAAAACUACUAGAUUUUUACAGUUUCUUAAGAAAUGUUAAUGUGCGGUCACAUUUACCAUUGUUCAGUUUUGCAGGUGAAAUCCACAAUAGAUACGUAAAAAAAGGUCUGUUCUCCGUUUUCAGUUGUGUAGCAGUUUAUGAAGCACGGCUCAACCAGAAGCCACUUUCAAACCAAACAGGUUUUCAGGCAUUGUUGGUCAACUUGGUGAAUUUGCUUGACCAAC